rnacentral:lncRNA from 1 species
UUUUAAUAAGAUAAAAUAGAUUCAUUUCACCCAAAUAAACAAUGAGGCUUAUGAUUUCCUGAAAAGCUUGGCUCGUGCCAAAAUCAUUCUCAUACUCAGUUGUUAGGGAUACCUUGGCUUGAGAUUAUCCAAACCGAGUUCGCCAAGGCUGUUAAAAAGUCAUGUACGUAUAAAUCAUGUUUUUAUUUUGAAAAUAUAACCGUUCCUUGACGUUGGCUGAGUUCACCCUCACGUGGUGGUUUAGCGUGAAGUGAACUCUAAAGUUUUACCUCGGGAGUUACCCUACGCGCCUCCCAAAUCAAGGUAAAAAUAUAACGAAAUUUCGUGCCCCUCAAAAAAGCUAGUCCAUAGAACCCGCUCGCUGUAGUAAGCUAAUCGAUAUCCCAUCAAAUCAAUAAAAUUUCAGCAGCAUAACAUGGCUCAUAUAAAAUUACCAGCCUAUCAAGGCAAAGCAAAACAGUUCAUAUAAUUUCAACACAAUUUCCAAUUCAUCCAUUCAUGCCAAUAUCAUAAGCCAUUCAAUUCAAACCAUGAUUUAUAACACAACAAAUAGUCUCCAAUUACUCUAUUUUCCAAGCCAUCAUUCAAUUUCAAGACUAUUUUAUAAAAUCAUUUCAUUUAAUCACAUUUUGUUUAUAAAACAUAAAGAUUUACCAUUUAAACUCAUUUUUCUAUCAAAUCACAAAAAUGAAUAAAAACUACUUUAGAUAAUUAAGACAAUAAUAAGGUUACUCACUGUAAUGGAAAUCGAGUUCCAAGUACUCCGAUUCUUGAUCCUUGGGUACUAUCUCUUAUCUUUUGUCAAAAUGCUCACCACCUAGACAUGAUGCACAAUAAGCCAUUUACUACAUUUGUCCUAAAUUGUUAUAAAACCAAUUCAGACUCUAUACUAAUGCAUGAAAUAGGAUGUGAAAUGCUCGGGUAACUAUCUAAAUACGACGUUCAAUACACGUUCAAUUAUGUACCUAAAUAAAAUGGUAUUGGCAUAAUUCGAUCUAUCACCCGAUUAAUUGGCCAAUACGUCCAAUUCAACUCCAAACAAUUCCAUUUCUCUCCCAAUACUCCAAAUCAUUAAACACAAUUUAAAUAACUUGAAAUGUGGCAAAAUCAUCCUCACAUUUUCUCUUGAAAAAUUUGGCCAUGGUGAGUGCACUAACAAUAUAAUAUUUUUAUGCUUGAUUCUCACACCAUAAAUCAUUCAUUCCUAAUCAAAUCACUUGAAAUAAAAUCAAGUCCACCAUCAACACAUCAUAGGGAAGAUUCGGCCAGUGGAGGGUGAUGGAAGAAAAUGAAAUUUUUUUGUUUGUUUUUUAUACUACACAUCACUAACUAACUAAAAACACUAGAAUAUAUUGAAAUCUAACCAAAUCCAAGUUCAAGACUCCUCCCCCAAGUCCGGCCAGCAAGGGUAUCCUCAUGCAAACUUGAUUCUCAACCAUGGAAAAUGAAAAAGAAUGCAUAGGAAAGGUAGAUCACAAGCUAGAAUUGAAAAAUCUUACGUUUUGUCACUUGAUUCUUUGAAAUUUUGUGAAUUUCUCUUGAAUUUCUUAGCUAGGUUUUUGUUCUUCUUCUUUUCUUCCCUUUUGU